AGUGAACGCUGGCGGUAGGCCUAACACAUGCAAGUCGAACGGCAGCACAGGAGAGCUUGCUCUCUGGGUGGCGAGUGGCGGACGGGUGAGGAAUACAUCGGAAUCUACUUUUUCGUGAGGGAUAACGUAGGGAAACUUACGCUAAUACCGCAUACGACCUACGGGUGAAAGCAGGGGAUCUUCGGACCUUGCGCGAUUGAAUGAGCCGAUGUCGGAUUAGCUAGUUGGCGGGGUAAAGGCCCACCAAGGCGACGAUCCGAAGCUGGUCUGAGAGGAUGAUCAGCCACACGGGAACUGAGACACGGUCCAGACUCCUACGGGAGGCAGCAGUGGGGAAUAUUGGACAAUGGGCGCAAGCCUGAUUCAGCCAUACCGCGUGGGUGAAGAAGGCCUUCGGGUUGUAAAGCCCUUUUGUUGGGAAAGAAAUCCAGCUGGUUAAUACCCGGUUGGGAUGACGGUACCCAAAGAAUAAGCACCGGCUAACUUCGUGCCAGCAGCCGCCGUAA
rnacentral:rRNA from 1 species